rnacentral:tRNA from 1 species
GGAGAGGUGGCUCAAUGGUAGAGUGCUUGCCUAGCAUGCAUGAAGUCCCAGGUUCGAUUCCUCAGUACCA